AUGAGCAGCAGAGGAAAUACAGGGAAGGAAACAUGCAUGCAGUCCCGGCCACCACAGUGCUGUCAGACGGAAAUUUUAAAAGAGCAAGAAGCCUCAUCUGCCCUUCAAACACUGUUUCUGCACGCUCAGCAGCUGUUGCAGUGUGGCCCCGUGCUAUCCCAGAAGGGAGGGAAGUAUGGCUUGCUUUGUUUGAGUUCCAUUGUGCAGAGCCUAUCAAGUGACACUCAGCAGAACACAAAAUUGUUGCCAAACAAGGAAACUGCAAUAUCCAAAGCUAAGUUCAAGAUGCCAUUAGAGUUGCCCUUGGUGCCAGUCUCCGGGGCCUCCGGGAGAGUAAGCCCAUUGGUCUCUGGUAACAGCAAACGGACCAAUAAGGGUACCACCUCCUCAGAACACCCAGCCCUGAAGCUCGGACCUCACCAGUGUAGACAGCUCUAGCACCAAAAACCUAAGGAACAGAAGAGCUACGCUUCAGGUGGUUAAGGGCAGAACCAGGACCAGGAACCUGCCCUCUGACUCCGGUGUGCAGGGGCUUCAUUGACUGCAGGUUCCAUGCCCUGCACGGUCCUGAUUCCUAUUACCGUGACCUCUGAGUGGUAUGGUUUCCACAAGUGCUAAUUGUAUUCGACAUUUGGGAAACACAUUUCACAUAAUUAAAGUAUAUCAUUCCUUUCCUAAAACCAUGGCCUGAUGUGACCUUUCCACAGUCUACACGGUUCCAGUGAAAAAUAAGGCAACUGACCAGAUAGUCCAAGCCUCGUAAUUAAUUAAAAAUCAGACGUGAUAUUCUGAGCCUGAAUCUGAGUAAAUUUACAUUGCUUUGCUUUACAAAUGAGUGCCCUACAUAGGUACGGCCCCUACUUCUCUGGCCCUCAUGCUUGCUGCAGGGUCCUCUUCCUUACCCAGGAGCCAGGGUGCACAGGAGCCAACCAGGCCACCGUCAGUGGAGUUGAGGACAGAGUCAGGCAGUGGGAUGCAGUGUCGCACCAUUGCCCCAUAGAGCCCAUACUCCGCCAUCACGCUGCUGCCGCCCCAGCGCUUCUCCCGUUUGCGCCACUUGGCCCUCCGGUUUUGAAACCAGACCUGGUUUGAGGCAAGAGGGAAGCAGAGAGGCACACAGGAGAAGACAGAGUGAAGAAGGAUGCUUAGAGGUG
rnacentral:lncRNA from 1 species